rnacentral:rRNA from 1 species
UACGUAGGGGCAAGCGUUGUCCGGAUUUACUGGCGUAAAGAGCGCGUAGGCGGAACGUUAAGUCCGGUUUGAAAGCCCCCGGCUCAACCGGGGAGAGUGGCUGGAAACUGGCGUUCUUGAGGGCGAUAGAGAGUGUGGAAUUCCGUGGUGUAGCGGUGAAAUGCGUAGAGAUCAGGAGGAACACCAGUGGCGAAGGCGCACUCUGGCCGGUGACUGACGCUGAGGAGCGAAAGCGUGGGAGCGAACAGG